rnacentral:rRNA from 1 species
GACGAACGCUGGCGGCGUGCUUAACACAUGCAAGUCGAACGGAAAGGCCCUGCUUUUGUGGGGUGCUCGAGUGGCGAACGGGUGAGUAACACGUGAGUAACCUGCCCUUGACUUUGGGAUAACUUCAGGAAACUGGGGCUAAUACCGGAUAGGAGCUCCUGCUGCAUGGUGGGGGUUGGAAAGUUUCGGCGGUUGGGGAUGGACUCGCGGCUUAUCAGCUUGUUGGGGGGGUAGUGGCUUACCAAGGCUUUGACGGGUCGCCGGCCUGAGGGGGUGACCGGCCACAUUGGGACUGAGAUACGGCCCAGACUCCUACGGGAGGCAGCAGUGGGGAAUAUUGCACAAGGGGCGGAAGCCUGAUGCAGCAACGCCGCGUGCGGGAUGACGGCCUUCGGGUUGUAAACCGCUUUCGCCUGUGACGAAGCGUGAGUGACGGUAAUGGGUAAAGAAGCACCGGCUAACUACGUG